rnacentral:rRNA from 1 species
AUUGAACGCUGGCGGCAGGCCUAACACAUGCAAGUCGAGCGGAUGACGGGAGCUUGCUCCUUGAUUCAGCGGCGGAUGGGUGAGUAAUGCCUAGGAAUCUGCCUGGUAGUGGGGGACAACGUUUCGAAAGGAACGCUAAUACCGCAUACGUCCUACGGGAGAAAGCAUGGGACCUUCGGGCCUUGCGACAUCAGAUGAGCCUAGGUCGGAUUAGCUCGUUGGUGAGGUAAUGGCUCACCAAGGCGACGAUACGUAACUGGUCUGAGAGGAUGAUCAGUCACACUGGAACUGAGACACGGUCCAGACUCCUACGGGAGGCAGCAGUGGGGAAUAUUGGACAAUGGGCGAAAGCCUGAUCCGGCCAUGCCGCGUGUGUGAAGAAGGUCUUCGGAUUGUAAAGCACUUUAAGUUGGGAGGAAGGGCAGUAAGUUAAUACCUUGCUGUUUUGACGUUACCAACAGAAUAAGCACCGGCUAACUCUGUGCCAGCCGCCGCCGUAACAC